AUUGAACGCUGGCGGCAGGCCUAACACAUGCAAGUCGAGCGGCAGCGGGAAAGUAGCUUGCUACUUUUGCCGGCGAGCGGCGGACGGGUGAGUAAUGCCUGGGAAAUUGCCCAGUCGAGGGGGAUAACAGUUGGAAACGACUGCUAAUACCGCAUACGCCCUACGGGGGAAAGCAGGGGACCUUCGGGCCUUGCGCGAUUGGAUAUGCCCAGGUGGGAUUAGCUAGUUGGUGAGGUAAUGGCUCACCAAGGCGACGAUCCCUAGCUGGUCGGAGAGGAUGAUCAGCCACACUGGGACUGAGACACGGUCCAGACUCCGACGGGAGGCAGCAGUGGGGAAUAUUGCACAAUGGGGGAAACCCUGAUGCAGCCAUGCCGCGUGUGUGAAGAAGGCCUUCGGGUUGUAAAGCACUUUCAGCGAGGAGGAAAGGUCAGUAGCUAAUACCUGCUGGCUGUGACGUUACUCGCAGAAGAAGCACCGGCUAACUCCGUGCCAGCCGCCGCCGUAAAAC
rnacentral:rRNA from 1 species